rnacentral:rRNA from 1 species
GUGUCAGCAGCCGCGGUAAUACGUAGGGCCCAAGCGUUGUCCGGAAUUAUUGGGCGUAAAGCGCGCGCAGGCGGUUCCUUAAGUCUGAUGUGAAAGGCCACAGCUCAACUGUGGAGGGCCAUUGGAAACUGGGGAACUUGAGGACAGAAGAGGAGAGCGGAAUUCCACGUGUAGCGGUGAAAUGCGUAGAUAUGUGGAGGAACACCAGUGGCGAAGGCGGCUCUCUGGUCUGUAACUGACGCUGAGGCGCGAAAGCAUGGGUAGCGAACAGGAUUAGAUACCCCGGUAGUCC